UACAGAGGGUGCAAGCGUUGUCCGGAAUCACUGGGCGUAAAGGGCGCGUAGGUGGCCCGACAAGUCUGUGGUGAAAGCUCGACGCUCAACGUCGAGUCGGCCAUAGAUACUGUUGGGCUGGAGCACUGUAGAGGCUCAUGGAAUUCCGGGUGUAGCGGUGGAAUGCGUAGAGAUCCGGAAGAACACCGGUGGCGAAGGCGGUGAGCUGGGCAGUAGCUGACACUGAGGCGCGACAGCGUGGGGAGCAAACAGG
rnacentral:rRNA from 1 species